rnacentral:rRNA from 1 species
ACUCCUACGGGAGGCAGCAGUGGGGAAUUUUGCGCAAUGGGGGAAACCCUGACGCAGCAACGCCGCGUGAGUGAUGAAGGCCUUCGGGUCGUAAAGCUCUGUCAGAGGGGAAGAAAAGCAGGGGUGCUAAUACCAUUUCUGCUUGACGGUACCCUCAAAGGAAGCACCGGCUAACUCCGUGCCAGCAGCCGCGGUAAUACGGAGGGUGCGAGCGUUGUUCGGAAUUAUUGGGCGUAAAGCGCGUGUAGGCGGCUCCUUAAGUCUGAUGUGAAAGCCCCGGGCUCAACCUGGGAAGUGCAUUGGAAACUGGGGAACUUGAAUACGGGAGAGGGUAGUGGAAUUCCUAGUGUAGGAGUGAAAUCCGUAGAUAUUAGGAGGAACACCGGUGGCGAAGGCGGCUACCUGGACCGAUAUUGACGCUGAGACGCGAAAGCGUGGGGAGCAAACAGGAUUAGAUACCCUGGUAGUCCACGCCGUAAACGAUGAGAACUAGGUGUUGCGGGUA